rnacentral:sRNA from 2 species
UUGCUAUCUGCGAUAUGGAAGAUUCGAACCUGCCGCAGGUUCGGGUCGAACGCAGUGAGACAACGGAGCCGUUUACGGCGACGGCCCGAAGGGCGAGCGAAGCGAGUCAUCCUGCACGACCCCCCA